CAGGACGAACGCUGGCGGCGUGCUUCAUACAUGCAAGUCGAACGAUAAGGCACCUUCGGGUGUACAUAAGUGGCGGACGGGUGAGUAAUGUGUAGAGAAUCUGCCCUUAAGCGGGGGACAACAGCUGGAAACGGUUGCUAAUACCCCAUAUGAGCGUAGCUGAAAUGCUAUUCUUGAAAACUCCGGUGCUUAAGGAUGAGUCUGCAUCUGAUUAGCUAGUUGGGGGUGUAAUGGACCACCAAGGCGACGAUCAGUAGCUGGUUUGAGAGGAUGAUCAGCCACAAUGGGACUGAGACACGGCCCAUACUCCUACGGGAGGCAGCAGUAGGGAAUUUUGCGCAAUGGGCGAAAGCCUGAACCGCAGCAACGCCGCGUGACUGAAGAAGCCCUUCGGGGUGUAAAGGUCUGUCACAGGGGACGAAAAAUGACGGUACCCUGAGAGGAAGCAUCGGCUAACUCCGUGCCAGCAGCGGC
rnacentral:rRNA from 1 species